rnacentral:rRNA from 1 species
GACAGAGGGUGCAAACGUUGUUCGGAAUUACUGGGCGUAAAGCGCGUGUAGGCGGCAGCGUGUGUCGGGCGUGAAAUCCCACGGCUCAACCGUGGAAGUGCACCCGAAACUGCGCAGCUAGAGUCCUGGAGAGGAAGGUGGAAUACUUGGUGUAGAGGUGAAAUUCGUAGAUAUCAAGUGGAACACCGGUGGCGAAGGCGGCUCUCUGGACCACUACUGACGCUGAGGCGCGAAAGCUAGGGGAGCAAACAGG